rnacentral:tRNA from 1 species
GGUUAUAGCUCAGCGGUAGAGCGCUUGUCUCGCACUUGUGAGGUACUGGGUUCGAUCCUCAGCACCA